GACAAUAUGUCAGAUGGUAUGAGUUGGAUUUAAGUUUCAAAUAUUAGGUUGUUU
rnacentral:tRNA from 1 species